rnacentral:tRNA from 1 species
GCCUUCGUGGUGUAGUGGUUCAGCACGCUCGACGCGUAACCGAGAGGGCCAUGGUUCGAUUCCCGGCGAAGGCG